rnacentral:rRNA from 1 species
GCGAGCGGCGGACGGGUGAGUAAUGCCUAGGAAUCUGCCUGGUAGUGGGGGAUAACGCUCGGAAACGGACGCUAAUACCGCAUACGUCCUACGGGAGAAAGCAGGGGACCUUCGGGCCUUGCGCUAUCAGAUGAGCCUAGGUCGGAUUAGCUAGUUGGUGAGGUAAUGGCUCACCAAGGCGACGAUCCGUAACUGGUCUGAGAGGAUGAUCAGUCACACUGGAACUGAGACACGGUCCAGACUCCUACGGGAGGCAGCAGUGGGGAAUAUUGGACAAUGGGCGAAAGCCUGAUCCAGCCAUGCCGCGUGUGUGAAGAAGGUCUUCGGAUUGUAAAGCACUUUAAGUUGGGAGGAAGGGCAGUUACCUAAUACGUAAUUGUUUUGACGUUACCGACAGAAUAAGCACCGGCUAACUCUGUGCCAGCAGCCGCGGUAAUACAGAGGGUGCAAGCGUUAAUCGGAAUUACUGGGCGUAAAGCGCGCGUAGGUGGUUCGUUAAGUUGGAUGUGAAAUCCCCGGGCUCAACCUGGGAACUGCAUUCAAAACUGACGAGCUAGAGUAUGGUAGAGGGUGGUGGAAUUUCCUGUGUAGCGGUGAAAUGCGUAGAUAUAGGAAGGAACACCAGUGGCGAAGGCGACCACCUGGACUGAUACUGACACUGAGGUGCGAAAGCGUGGGGAGCAAACAGGAUUAGAUACCCUAGGUAGUCCACGCCGUAAACGAUGUCAACUAGCCGUUGGGAGCCUUGAGCUCUAGUGGCGCAGCUAACGCAUUAAGUUGACCG